GCUUUGAAAAAGUGGAAUAGGAGAUAGCAAAGUUGUCCAACUAUACUCACUAUGCGCUGGACGCAGCUGAAAAUUUCAGUUUGGGGUUGGAGUUUUUUUCUCUAAAUUUAAGUAUAAAACCUUAUUUCUCUAAGUCAUUACUCCAAGAGUGGAUACUUUUUUUUUUACUCUUUUUUUUCCUCAAAAUGCACUGAUAGUAUUUGAAAUACUCUACUAUAAAUCUCCUACAAUUAUUUUUUUUUAUUAUUAUUAUUAUUAGGCAUCUAUUUCCCUUUAAUUACCAAGGAUGUUAGGCCUGAUCCUACAAUGUGCAGAAUUAAUGGGUGAAAUUCCCCUCUUCAGAUUGGGGUAAUACGAGUCCUAAGCACUGCUCAGGUCUGAUGUAAGUACCCCUCAAAUGAUGUUUAGAUGGGUCUGCAACAACUCAAGGACUUUGUGCCAGAGGCCUUACCGCAGCGAGGUAAUUGCCACUGUCCCUGCAAAGUCCCUGAGAACUGGUGGGAAAUGCUGAGCACGUUGAAAGAUCAGAUCCAAGGGGUUGACUGGGGCUGAGGGGAAAAUCUUAGCACUUAGCUGGGUGAGGUAGGACAGCAUUUUUCUGUGUUUAGCAUCAAUACAAUUGUAUGGUUGGCAUGGUUUAAAGAAAAAAAAAAAAAAAGGAACUUAAAGGACAGCUGUGUUGUACUUUGGUGAUCGAUUACUCUGUAUUUUAACACAUUGUAUGUCUGUUUUUGUGGUGCUCUAGUGGUAAAUAAAUUAUUUCAAUUAUA